CCUACGGGGGGCAGCAGUGGGGAAUAUUGCACAAUGGGGGAAACCCUGAUGCAGCAACGCCGCGUGAGCGAAGAAGGCCUUCGGGUCGUAAGGCCCUGUCCUAAGGGAAGAAGCAUGACGGACCCUAAGGAGGAGCCCCCGGCUACCUACGGGCAAGCACCCGGGGUAAUAGGUAGGGGGGGAGCGUUAUCCGGAAUCACGGGGGGUAAAGGGUGCGUAGGCGGCCGAUUAAGCCAGGGGUGAAAGGCUACGGCUCAACCGUAGUAAGCCCUUGGAACUGAUUGGCUUGAGUGCAGGAGAGGAGAGUGGAAUUCCUAGUGUAGCGGUGAAAUGCGUAGAUAUUAGGAGGAACACCAGUGGCGAAGGCGACUCUCUGGACUGUAACUGACGCUGAGGCACGAAAGCGUGGGGAGCAAACAGGAUUAGAUACCCCGGUAGUC
rnacentral:rRNA from 1 species